rnacentral:rRNA from 1 species
GGGCCCGCACAAGCGGUGGAGCAUGUGGUUUAAUUCGAUGAUACGCGAGGAACCUUACCAGGGCUUAAAUGGGAGAUGACAGGGGCAGAGACGCCCUUUUCUUCGGACAUCUUUCAAGGUGCUGCAUGGUUGUCGUCAGCUCGUGCCGUGAGGUGUCAGGUUAAGUCCUAUAACGAGCGCAACCCCUACCGUUAGUUGCCAGCGAUUCAAGUCGGGGACUCUAACGGGACUGCCGGUGCAAACCGUGAGGAAGGUGGGGACGACGUCAAAUCAUCACGGCCCUUACGUCCUGGGCUACACACGUGCUACAAUGGUCGGUACAGAGGGAAGCUACCCCGUAAGGGGAUGCGGAUCUAUAAAACCGAUCUCAGUUCGGAUUGGAGUCUGCAACUCGACUCCAUGAAGUUGGAAUC